rnacentral:rRNA from 1 species
CCUACGGGGGGCAGCAGUGAGGAAUAUUGGUCAAUGGGCGCGAGCCUGAACCAGCCAAGCAGCGUGAAGGAUGACUGCCCUACGGGUUGUAAACUUCUUUUAUAAAGGAAUAAAGUGAGGCUCGUGUGCCUUUUUGUAUGUACUUUAUGAAUAAGGAUCGGCUAACUCCGUGCCAGCAGCCGCGGUAAUACGGAGGAUCCGAGCGUUAUCCGGAUUUAUUGGGUUUAAAGGGAGCGUAGAUGGGUUGUUAAGUCAGUUGUGAAAGGUUGCGGCUCAACCGUAAAAGUGCAAUUGAUACUGGCAGUCUUGAGUACAGGUGAGGUAGGCGGAAUUCGUAGUGUAGCGGUGAAAUGCUUAGAUAUCACGAAGAACUCCGAUUGCGAAGGCAGCUUACUAAACUGCCACUGACACUGAUGCACGAAAGUGUGGGUAUCAAACAGGAUUAGAUACCCUUGUAGUC